rnacentral:miRNA from 1 species
UAUUUAUUUUGCCAAAAUUUUUCAUAUAGAUGUAAAUGUUGUGUAUACACACACACACACACACACAUAUAUAUAUAUAUGUUUGUGUGUGUGUGUGUAA